rnacentral:rRNA from 1 species
GACGAACGCUGUUCGGCGUGCCUAAUACAUGCAAGUCGAGCGAGCGGAACCAACAGAUUUACUUCGGUAAUGACGUUGGGAAAGCGAGCGGCGGAUGGGUGAGUAACACGUGGGGAACCUGCCCCUAAGUCUGGGAUACCAUUUGGAAACAGGUGCUAAUACCGGAUAAUAAAGCAGAUCGCAUGAUCAGCUUUUGAAAGGCGGCGUAAGCUGUCGCUAAGGGAUGGCCCCGCGGUGCAUUAGCUAGUUGGUAAGGUAACGGCUUACCAAGGCGACGAUGCAUAGCCGAGUUGAGAGACUGAUCGGCCACAUUGGGACUGAGACACGGCCCAAACUCCUACGGGCGGCAGCAGGAGGGAAUCUUCCACAAUGGACGCAAGUCUGAUGGAGCAACGCCGCGUGAGUGAAGAAGGUUUUCGGAUCGUAAAGCUCUGUUGUUGGAGAACAAGGAUAGAGGUAGUAACUGCUCUUUAUUUGACUGUAAUCAACCAGAAAGUCAUGGCUAACUAC